GUGGGAAUUGCACCCUGGUGGGUUGGGAUUGCCCGGUUCCCAGUGGGAAUUCCCGGAUUUCAGUGGGAUUCCCCAGUUUCCAGUGGGAAUUCCCGGAUUUCAGUGGGAUUUCCCAGUUUCCAGUGGGAUUUCCCAGUUUCCAGUGGGAAUUCCCGGAUUUCAGUGGGAUUCCCCAGUUUCCAGUGGGAUUCUCCAGUUUCCAGUGGGAUUUCCCAGGUUUCCAGUGGGAAUUGCACCCCGGUGGGUUGGGAUUGCCCAGUUCCCAGCGGGAUUCUCCAGUUCCCAGUGGGAAUUGCACCCGGUGGGUUGGGAUUGCCCAGUUCCCAGUGGGAUUCUCCAGUUCCCAGUGGGAUUUCCCAGUUCCCAGUGGGAUUCUCCAGUUCCCAGUGGGAAUUGCACCCGGUGGGUUGGGAUUGCCCAGUUCCCAGCGGGAAUUCCCGGAUUUCAGUGGGAUUGCCCAGUUCCCAGUGGGAAUUGCACCCGGUGGGUUGGGAUUCCCCAGUUCCCAGCGGGAAUUCCCGGAUCCCGGUGGGAUUUUCCGCGUUUCCGUGUCGCAGGCAGCCCGGAGUGCGUGCAGCUGCUGAUCGAGGUG
rnacentral:lncRNA from 1 species